UUCCACGUGUAGCAGUGAAAUGCGUAGAGAUGUGGAGGAAUACCGAUGGCGAAGGCAGCCUCCUGGGAUAACACUGACGUUCAUGCCCGAAAGCGUGGGUAGCAAACAGGAUUAGAUACCCUGGUAGUCCACGCCCUAAACGAUGUCGAUUAGCUGUUGGGCAGCAUGACUGCUUAGUAGCGAAGCUAACGCGUGAAAUCGACCGCCUGGGGAGUACGGUCGCAAGAUUAAAACUCAAAGGAAUUGACGGGGACCCGCACAAGCGGUGGAUGAUGUGGAUUAAUUCGAUGCAACGCGAAGAACCUUACCUGGUCUUGACAUGUACGGAACCCUCCAGAGACGGAGGGGUGCCUUCGGGAGCCGUAACACAGGUGCUGCAUGGCUGUCGUCGGCUCGUGUCGUGAGAUGUUGGGUUAAGUCCCGCAACGAGCGCAACCCUUGUCAUUAGUUGCCAUCAUUAAGUUGGGCACUCUAAUGAGACUGCCGGUGACAAGCCGGAGGAAGGUGGGGAUGACGUCAAGUCCUCAUGGCCCUUAUGACCAGGGCUUCACACGUCAUACAAUGGUCGGUACAGAGGGUAGCCAAGCCGCGAGGUGGAGCCAAUCUCACAAAACCGAUCGUAGUCCGGAUUGCACUCUGCAACUCGAGUGCAUGAAGUCGGAAUCGCUAGUAAUCGCAGGUCAGCAUACUGCGGUGAAUACGUUCCCGGGUCUUGUACACACCGCCCGUCACACCAUGGGAGUGGGGGAUACCAGAAGUA
rnacentral:rRNA from 1 species